UACGGGGGGGGCAAGCGUUGUUCGGAAUUACUGGGCGUAAAGGGCUCGUAGGUGGCCAACUAAGUCACACGUGAAAUCCCUCGGCUUAACCGGGGAACUGCGUGUGAUACUGGAUGGCUUGAGUUUGGGAGAGGGAUGCGGAAUUCCAGGUGUAGCGGUGAAAUGCGUAGAGAUCUGGAAGAACACCAAAGGCGAAGGCAGCGUCCUGGGAAGCAUCUGACGCUCAGGUGCGAAAGCUAGGGGAGCGAACGGG
rnacentral:rRNA from 1 species